rnacentral:rRNA from 1 species
GAUGAACGCUGGCGGCGUGCCUAAUACAUGCAAGUCGAGCGAACGGACGAGAAGCUUGCUUUUCUGAUGUUAGCGGCGGACGGGUGAGCAACACGUGGAUAACCUACCUAUAAGACUGGGAUAACUUCGGGAAACCGGAGCUAAUACCGGAUAAUAUUUUGAACCGCAUGGUUCAAAAGUGAAAGACGGUCUUGCUGUCACUUAUAGAUGGAUCCGCGCUGCAUUAGCUAGUUGGUAAGGUAACGGCUUACCAAGGCAACGAUGCAUAGCCGACCUGAGAGGGUGAUCGGCCACACUGGAACUGAGACACGGUCCAGACUCCGACGGGAGGCAGCAGUAGGGAAUCUUCCGCAAUGGGCGAAAGCCUGACGGAGCAACGCCGCGUGAGUGAUGAAGGUCUUCGGAUCGUAAAACUCUGUUAUUAGGGAAGAACAUAUGUGUAAGUAACUGUGCACAUCUUGACGGUACCUAAUCAGAAAGCCACGGCUAACUACGUG